GCACUGCUCCGGCCUGUCGCUGGUACCCAGAGUACGAGAGGAAAGUCCGGGCAGUAUAGGGCACCCCACUUCUGAAAAUGGAAGCUAUUGGUGACAGUAGGUGCCGGCAGAAGAAAAUAACCGCCCCUGGAGUGGGCAAGGGUGAGAAGGUGGUGUAAGAGACCACCAGCUGAUGGGUGAUCAUCAGGCUGUGCCGACUGGGGACUGCAAGUUCAUGUAUACCGUCGUCUGAGGGUUGCCCGCCCGAGUAAACGAU
rnacentral:RNase_P_RNA from 1 species